rnacentral:rRNA from 1 species
GACGGAGGAUGCAAGCGUUAUCCGGAAUGAUUGGGCGUAAAGCGUCUGCAGGUGGCAGUUCAAGUCUGCUGUCAAAGACCGGGGCUUAACUUCGGAAAGGCAGUGGAAACUGAACAGCUAGAGUAUGGUAGGGGAGUGUGGAAUUCCCGGUGUAGCGGUGAAAUGCGCAGAUAUCGGGAGGAACACCAGUAGCGAAGGCGGCACUCUGGGCCGGUACUGACGCUGAGACGCGAAAGCGUGGGGAGCGAACAGG